rnacentral:lncRNA from 1 species
CCAUGACUCUGAGCAUGUCUCCGGCUGCGGUUUGCCAGUGCUUUACUUUGGUGUCCCUGUGCACGUCCAUCGCUGACCCCAACUGGAUCCAGGUCAGGAACAGUACUGACCCCGGAGGAAAACAAAUCAUCUAUGGAGUGGCCUUCACACUGCACGCUGCCCAGAACAUCACUGACACAGGUCCUCUGGGUGGUGUUAACGGCUGGGGGAUGUGGCUGCUCUAUGCCCUGGCGGCUCUGUGCUACACUGCUGUCCUGCUCUCCAGCUCCUCCUUCUUAUUGGACUUCUUGGGGACUGGGAUGUCCCACCCUCGACUGGUGGUGUCACUCCACAUCUCCACUGUUGUUUUCCUAAUGUCCGUGCUGGGAGUGUGUGGGGCUUGCCUGUACGUCAUCAGCGGCAACCUUCAGGAGGGCAAAUUUGGGCUACUGUGGGACUGGGUAGGGGGCUGGACCUGGUCUGGGUCUUGGUCUCCUAGGCCUGGCACCAGAAGCCAAGGAGGGGCAGCGGGGAUGCAGGCUUACCCAGGGGAGAGCUUCUACAUUGCCAUUCUGGGCCUACUUUUUUCCUGCCUGGCUUCCGUGAUCAGCCUGAGUUGCCCGGGGGACCCCACCUCUACCCAGAGUGACUACACAGCCAUGGUAGAAGGGGACGACAGUGACACAGAGCCCCUCACCCCCAGGGAGCAGGGAGUGGGCCAGUCUGACGGAGACAACAGGGGGGAGGAGUGGGCAGGAGAGGUGGUCCCUGAACUGAAUCAGGUGGAGGUGGAUGGAGGUGGAGACUGCUAAAGGGGGUUCUGUUUAUAUGUUUAGCCCAAAAGGUGAACUGUGGUUUGGUUUCUACUAGAAUGCGAACCAGGAUCACACAUGGCCUGUAACAGACUUUAUUAGACAGCAGUGCUGGCCCCUUCCCUGGUCAUGUUUUGGUUCCUUUUAAUGCUUCACUUGACCAAGAUAGUAGAAUCCUGUCAGGAGCCAAAAAAGAGAUCCGAUACGUUUUCUAAUGUUCUCUUAAUGUUUGUCUGCCUAAAAACUUCCCUCUCGGGUCAGUGUGUAUACAGUUGCACAACAUACAUUUUAAAAAGAAUAACAUCUUUCCCUUGUGGGAGUUUAGGCCCAGAGUCUCCAACUUCACUUGACCAAGGUCAAUAGUUAUUUUGCUUGCUGUGAUGGUUGAAAAAGUGUGCCACAUGUUUAAGCUAUUUCUGUCUGUGUGACCAGGGCAAGUGCGUUAUACAAAUGAUAUGCUCUUUUCAAUAUAGUUGAACACGUGGCGUCACUUGCAUGAAGGGAUAGUAAACUCAUCAAUGGGAACAAGCGUUGACCCUGUUCCCAUUACUGCAAAAUAACCACUGGGGUGUGAUCAGGAUCAGCGAAUGGUUUCAAACAGUUCAAAACCAGAAAAUAUGUUCAGUUGAGCAUAAGUUGAAAUAUAGCCCAUGUUUGUACAAUCACCUAUUCUCCUCUUCUAGUUAUAAAAAUCCCUACAGGAAGGUUUUUUAAAAUGAUUUUUGCAGGUUGUUUUCUAACCUAUGCAUUAUCUUAACUUCUUAAACCCUUUGCACAGUCUUUCAUAGUGACACUUGAAGUUUCCCAAAUGGAGGACAGAAAUCCAAUAGAUUAUUCAUAGAUUUACCUGAAGUGUACUGAAACUAGAGUUUCCUUUGAGAAAUUAAAUUUAAAAAGCCCGUUUGGCUAUUAUUGCCACUAGCUUUUAUCACUUUUAAUUGAUACACUAUUUAUUAAUGCAUGGAUGUUUACUACUAUAGGAAGAAUUGAGGGGGAUAUGACAGCUUGCCUUUCCACAACAGGUAGUGUAAAUGCAUGGCUCUUGCCUUUAUAUGACUUGAUAUACUAAUGAUAUUAAAAUAUGAUGUAUUGAAUAUUUUAUGUAUUCGAAUGUUUCUGGUUUCAUAAAAUGUUGACACUGCUAUUGGUUACUAGAUAAUACAUAUCACUGUGAAAAUAUAUUCCAGUUUGGCAUCUUUAGAUGGUUACAUUACAGCACAAACCACUCUAUAAAGCAGGGUUAUCCUGCUUAACGGAAACCAAUAAAACAAGCUCCUUGAUGGUGUUUGGUUGCAGAUGAUGGUAGGACCAUGGAUAUUGGCUUAAUUAAUUAAGAUAGCUAAGAGCCUGCCUAGAAUCAGGUUUUCCUUACCUACUUGUUUCCUGGACACAGAUUAAGCCUAAUCCUGGAUUGGGAAACAUGUUCAAUCAAGAUUCUCUUUUUAUUUCAAGACCAGGCUUAAUCUGUGUCUGGGAAACUAUCCCUCAAUCUCUUCCUCAGGUACAUAGGAAGACAUUCCUUCUCUUAUUCCAGGGUCACAGUCCCAUCUCUAUGAAUCAGACUGUUCAUUGUGAUUGUUUGUGAUGUUAUUUAUUCAUUAAACUGUUUUUGUGUUUAAGUGAAAUGUGUGAAUGCAUUUUCUUCCUGUUCCAGAACAGAAGUGUCCAGUUCCUCUUAUUCCCACUCAUCUGUUUGUGUUGAUAUCUCAUCUCUGACACUACAGGUUUAUUUCCAACCAACAUCAUCAGGACAUGAUCUUAAUGCAAA